rnacentral:tRNA from 1 species
CAGUAAGUAGUUUAUUUAAAAUAUUAAUUUUGGAGAUUAAAGAUAAGUUAUUCUUUUUACUGA